rnacentral:rRNA from 2 species
ACGGGAGGCAGCAGUGGGGAAUAUUGGACAAUGGGGGAAACCCUGAUCCAGCGACGCCGCGUGAGUGAAGAAGUAUUUCGGUAUGUAAAGCUCUAUCAGCAGGGAAGAUGAUGACGGUACCUGACUAAGAAGCCCCGGCUAACUACGUGCCAGCAGCCGCGGUAAUACGUAGGGGGCAAGCGUUAUCCGGAUUUACUGGGUGUAAAGGGAGCGUAGGCGGCUGUGCAAGUCAGAUGUGAAAACCCGGGGCUUAACUCCGGGACUGCAUUUGAAACUGCGUAGCUUGAGUACUGGAGAGGCAAGCGGAAUUCCUAGUGUAGCGGUGAAAUGCGUAGAUAUUAGGAAGAACACCGGUGGCGAAGGCGGCUUGCUGGACAGAGACUGACGCUGAGGCUCGAAAGCGUGGGGAGCAAACAGGAUUAGAUACCCUGGUA